AGAUUUAUAGCUAGACCAGCAGCAGUAUUUUGAAAUUAAUUAUUUGACAGACAGAAGCUCAUACAUACUUUGUUUGUCCUCUGAUAACAACAGCAGCUCAGAUGGUGGAGUUAGAUAAGAGUGAAGUAAGGACAAAGAUGGUGAAUAUUAAAAAUGCAUUUAUGUACAUUUAAUGUACAUUUUUUGGCCAUAUCAAAGGGAUAGGAAGGAUUGUUUGAAGUGGAGUGAGGUAAUUCUCCAUAGUCAGUGUAUUACUUUCUGUAGAUGGCAUGUCCCAAGUGGAGGGUGAAGUUGAAGCAUCAUCAGCAAUGAAGAAGUAUGACUGAAGGCUGACGUGAUGACAUUCUCCAUGGCAGCAGACUGGGAGACCACUUUGUGAGACAGUCCGGAUUACCAUCCCACUGCCACAACAUCACCUCCCUAACAGGAUAACACAGCAUAAUAAACUCCAUAAAAUAAUCAAACUUAUUACAACUCUUAACCCCUGUUUAAUACAUUUGGCUCAGCUUACGUGUGCUGGCAUCCUCUCUUAUUCAAGCCACAAAAGAGUAUAGUCUUAUAAGACUGGAGAACACAGGGCAGCAGCUUGUGAUACCUUAAUAUUGGCUAUAAUUGGAUUUGUAAAUUAUGUGGCUAAAUUAACACUUUCUAUGGCUCGAUGACUUAGUGAAAUGUGUAGCAGGGAAGAAAAAAGGAAUGCAAGUCUUAAAGUUAAUUAAUCGUCUGUGGCCCCAGCUUAAUUAAAGUUUCCCAGUGUUUGUAGUUAAUGGGUGGAUUGAUGGAACAAUGGUAUGAACGCCCCCUGCUACCUCCAGAGUGAGUCCACAGAGAGGAAGAUAUCGGAGCCUUUGAUUAACACUUUCUCACACACACACACACACACACACACAACUCAGAUGCCUUCACAUGGUCCUAACUUGUGCAUGCUUAUACACUGCAUUUGUGGGCAUGCACACACACAGAUGUAUGCAUGUAAACACACACACACUGUCCCCUUCAAACUUCCCAGCUAUACAGAUACCCAUGGCUCCCCAUUGAGGGUUUCACAUUAAUUAGCUGGGAUCAAAACCUACAAAUCCCUCCACUGAGAAUUGAACUGUAUUACUAAACCCUGCCUCCAUCAUCUAUGCUAGGUCCCAUGACACUCUCUCUCUCUCUCUCUCUCUCUCUCUCUUUGUCUCUCACACACAGCUAGGUCCCCAUCACCCCCACCGCUUUCUUCACUGUACAGUAUUUUCAAUGAUGGGAAAUUUCAUGUCUCGGAUAAUCUAAUUAAAACAAAGGAAUUUAGGAAAAUGUUGCAUUUAAAAACAUUACAAUUUAAAAUUAAGAAUCUAUUUCAGCUUCUUGACACUAGGGUCCACUUCAAAACAGGGACUCAACAGAACCCCGCCGCAGCUAUCAAUCUGAUUAGAAUGUAGCCUCCGUGGGCAGCGGCCAAUAUUUUAGGGUUUCCGAAGAUUAUGGGUUACUAGAUUGCAUUUUGUGCAGAGCUUUCUUCCCAUAGACAUGCAUUUAUAAAGGUUCCGUCUCCUUGUUUAAUAGCAUUUUACCCAAACUGUUUACCAGCAUGCAACCAAAGACCGAUCACAAGUGAUUGGUCAACCAUGAAACCAGAAUAAUCCAGAAGCCAAAAUCUUAUCCCAAAACCGACAAAUUCUGCAUUCCUCCAGCUCCUCUAUUUUUGACUCUAUCGUCACCCAGUUCUUAGUACAGAUCAGUCCAAAUGAUAUAAUUGGGGUAUUUUAUCAGUGAAAACAUAAAUAGAGUUGCUUUUGUUAUUUAAAUCUCUUUAUUAAAACUUCAGGAAGAAACAAGGACGUUGUCCUCAUUUCAAGUAUUCAGGACAGGCUGCGAAUCAUCUUUCCAACAGUUACUCAAUUAGGUUUGGCUCCCAAAACUGAAUCAUUAUUCCUGAAUACAAUAUGACAUACAUUGUUUAAGCUUCAUCCUUCUAGAGCAAAGUCAUUCUAUUUGAUUCCUUUAAAAUUGGAAAAAGCUUCUAAUUAUUUUUGAGAGCACAUCACAAGUAUCACUUUUUAUAACUUGUCAUAUAAAAAAUACAGUAUUUUGGAAGUUGUAUCAGCAUGUAGAUCGUUCAUACUGUUUUUUUCCAUAGUUUCAGCUUUUGGUUUUCUCCCCCAUGCUUGGGAAAUAAUGAAAUGUGGCACUAAGAUUUGCAUGAAAGAAAAUUCACAAUCUCUGAAAGAAAUAAAAAAGCUUCUUCCCCA